rnacentral:lncRNA from 1 species
UCUUCUCUUUAGAAGGUUUGUUUGUCUUUCCCCCAUCUUCUCAUUUUUCCCUGCAGAAGUUAAUGUGGAUGAGUUCACCAUGGUCUGCCUUGCCAACAUCCAUCUCCAUGACUUUAUUUCCCUUUACUUUGUCCUCCAUAUAUAAAUGUUUUCUGAACAAAAUGACAAACUGAGUGUGAUUAGUUAUGGUCCUAGAAACUUGUCUAGACAUUGAUCCUUUCAGACCAAGCAAGAUGUUUGCCAGUUAUAAUGACAUUGUCUGAAUAGCUUAGACAUCUGCUAUGUCCAAAACCUCUUUCUUAGAGACUCAGUAUGCAUGGAUUGCUAUAUUUGUGCUCAAUGACAUCAUGAUGACCCUAAAAACAAUGGAUUUGACUCCUGAUCCAAAGGGACUCUGUUAGUUUGUAGGCAUUCCUUGGACUUAGGAAGUUACUUGGUGUGAAGGCUCCAUCUAACACCAACAAGAGUGCCCUCUACUGGAUGGUGACUUUCCAAACUAAUCAAAUUUUUGUUUAUUGAAGAGUUUGACUUUAAGACACGUGCAGAAAAAAAAAAAAAGACACGUGCAGAAUAAUUAUACAAAAGCUUACUAACAAUAGAAGUAGAGGUAAAGAGAGGUGCCUGGCUCAGCCGGUUAAGUGUCUGCCUUUGGCUCAGAUCAUGAUACCAGGAGUCUGGGCUUCCAGCUCAGUGGGGAGCCUGCUUCUCCUUCUCUCUCUGCCAUCUACCCCCCCCCCCAACUUUUGCUCUCUAGUUCUAUCUAUCUCUCUGUCAAGUAAAUAAAUAAAAUCUUAAAAAAAAUAAGUAGAGGUAAAGAAUCACCAUGUCACCAAACAAUAGUUUGAAGGAAUGGAUGUCAUGGGAUAGCCACAAGAAUUUUAGUGCUUCAUCAGGGCAGCAGUUGGGCCUUUAGAUCUGCUGCCAAAACCUGAAUAAGGUUUUGAGCUCUAGGUAACCUGGUUGUAUAUUAUUACAGCAAACUGUGUGAGAUAAACUAAUUAUAUCUAUUUCUUAUGAUUCAAGCAACUUAAUGUAUAAAUAAUAAGAAAAGUCAUUUUAGAUAAGAUUAGGCAAAAGGCUAUAAUAAAUAGAUGAAAGAUCAAUAUUAUAAUCCAGAGCUGAUAAUCACUAUUGGUAGCAGCUGCUGGAAAAAAAAAUCUCAUGUAUAAAUGUACUAGAAAUUAUUUUUCGUAUGUCUACCUGCCUAUCAGAGACCUCUCGGGCAGCCACUCCUCUCAAAGAAACCAGUGGAAAUAUGAACCUAGAUUGCAUUAUUGGGUAUUACAUGACCCCACCUUCUCAUUGACAUCCUUAGACCAAAGGUGAGUUACAAUUUCAAGAACAGCAAACAUGGUGUCUCUCUCUCUCCUCUCUCUCUCUCUCUCACACACACACACACACACACACACACACGGCAGUUUAUGUGCUUUAUUCUAUGUAAGUUAUACCUCAGGAAAUAAGAAUAAAUAUAAAAGGCAAAAAAAUGAUGAAGUAGGUCAAUCAGAUCCCUACAUGAGCCUUUUAAACCAAGAGUAUUGAGAUGAUGAUUUCAAUAGCUCAGGGAACAGAG